GAAAUGCGAUAAGUAGUGUGAAUUGCAGAAUUCAGUGAAUCAUCGAAUCUUUGAACGCACAUUGCGCCCCUUGUUAUUCCAUGGGGCAUGCCUGUUCGAGCGUCAUUUGUACCCUCAAGCUCUGCUUGGUGUUGGGUGUUUGUCCCCGUCUCCGCGCGUGGACUCGCCCCAAAGUGAUUGGCAGCCGGCGUACUGGUCCCGGAGCGCAGCACAUGUCGCGCAAACGAGUGCCUUGGUACGGCGGCGUCCAUAAGCCCCUCUCUCACGCUCUUGACCUCGGAUCAGGUAGGGAUACCCGCUGAACUUAAGC
rnacentral:misc_RNA from 1 species